rnacentral:rRNA from 1 species
UACGGGGGGGGGCAAGCGUUGUUCGGAAUUACUGGGCGUAAAGGGCUCGUAGGUGGCCAACUAAGUCAGACGUGAAAUCCCUCGGCUUAACCGGGGAACUGCGUCUGAUACUGGAUGGCUUGAGUUUGGGAGAGGGAUGCGGAAUUCCAGGUGUAGCGGUGAAAUGCGUAGAUAUCUGGAGGAACACCGGUGGCGAAGGCGGCCCACUGGAUCGGUACUGACGCUGAGGUGCGAAAGCGUGGGGAGCAAACAGG